rnacentral:rRNA from 1 species
UACGUAGGGGGCUAGCGUUGUCCGGAAUCAUUGGGCGUAAAGCGCGUGUAGGCGGUCCGGUAAGUCCGCUGUGAAAGUCGGGGGCUCAACCCUCGAAUGCCGGUGGAUACUGUCGGGCUAGAGUGCGGAAGAGGCGAGUGGAAUUCCUGGUGUAGCGGUGAAAUGCGCAGAUAUCAGGAGGAACACCAAUGCGAAGGCAGCUCGCUGGGACGUGACUGACGCUGAGACGCGAAAGCGUGGGGAGCAAACAGG